ACCGCCGCCAUGAGAAAAGGGGCACUCGGGCAAUUUUGACGCACCGUGAAAAAGUCCGGGAAUAGUACGACCGCUUCGUUAUUUCCGUAAACAUUACAACAGGUUGCUAAAUGGUGAUUUAAGUCGUGAUUUUUAUACCUAGAGGGUAUUUUACCAUCAGAAAUGGAUGAAUUUGAGGUAAUAUAUAUAUUACAUGCAGUUAUUGUUACAAAUAAAUUGAUAUUAUGAAGAAAACUUGCUUUUAAACCACUCGUCUGCCGUGCGCAGAGAAUUUUUUUUUAACAUCAUAAAAGAUUGUAUUUAAAACAAAAAUCAAUGUAUUUAAAACAAACAAAUCAAUUGAUUUGUACGGAUAUAAACUUCAGUUAUUUUUUUAUGCUCCUAGAAGCCUUUAUUGAUCGAUCUUUGAAAAUUAUGUUAUUGACAGUUGUUUGUUGUCAUACUGCUAAGCAACUAGGUAGUCUCCCUUGUUAUCGAUUUUUUUGGGUGAGUUCAAGAUACACUAGAAAAUUUACACCAUGUUUUGAAUGUUGAUGUGGUGGCCGUGGGGUUAAGCUCCUUGCGUAGCAUGCUCGCGGUCAGGGUUCAAUCCUCGGCCGGGAAGUAUUUUUUUUUUUAUUGCUUAUAUUUUUUUUUUUAUUUUCAGGAGCUGGAUGGGUUGUUUCAGGAAUUUGGCGUUGCUUCAGAAAUUAUGUCACAAAGCGAUGAUCAUGAGGCGAUCGAAAAUCUUAGUCAGGAGUGGGACAGUGAAGAAGAAGAAGAAGAUUUAGAAAAUGCGUUAGAAAAUGUAGAAAAUAGUAUUUCGUCAAGAGUCCAUGACUAUAUGAGCAACACACACUCUUGUAAUUCUGAACAAUCAGGGUCAGAGCUUGACGACAAUAACACCAAUGAUAACGAUACAUCUAACUGUGAGAAUUUAAAACUGUGUAAAUGCAAAUCUAACUGCAUGGAUAGCUUUGAAGAAGACACAAUUAAUAACCAUAUAUUGUCACUUAGAGAAAUGGACAGGGGUGAGAAGGAAAUGUUCAUUAUGGGAAGCCUUCAACAAGUAAGUGCUGAUGAAACUUUGAAAGGUAAACGUAGAAAAAGGACAAGAUUUAGGUACGUGUUUCAGGGAAAAAAGGUGUGCAAGGACGUGUUUUUAUAUAUAAACGAUAUAGGAAAGAAAUCGUUGAGGAACAUCGUUGACCAUUUUAGUAUGAAUGGGGCAGUACCACGUACCCAUGGCAACACCGGACGAAGACCGCAUCAUGCUCUUGGAUACAAUGAGAUCAGGUUUUGUGUUGACUGGUUGAUAUGGUAUGCCGACAUACAUGGUUUACCCAUGCCUGCAGCUCCGAGAGGACAUGACGGAGAAGCUCCUAUAUUGCUGCCAUCUAAUCUCACAAAAUGUAGUCUGCACACAUUAUAUUCUCAAGCCUGUAUAGAGUCUCAGGUUAGAAAGAUUGGAUUGUCAUCGUUUAAGAACGUAUGGAGUAAUGUUGUGCCGCACAUAAGAAUAAUGACUCCAAAAGAUGAUGUUUGUCAUAAGUGUGAACUUUUACGCCACAAGGUUGUAGAUGCUGUGACAGAGGACGCAAAAUUAGAUGCAGCAAAUCAUCUCCGUGAACACGUGCAGGAUGCAAAGGCUGAACGAGAAGUAUAUCAGACAGCAGUUGUCCAGGCAAGAUAAGAAAUGUCAACUCACAGACGACAUGACAGACCAGUAACUCCAGUAUCCGCAGAUUUAAACAAAGUGCACUUUACGUUUGACUACAGCCAGUGCGUUACAAUACCACAUCAUAGCCGGCAAAUGGGUCCAAUAUAUUUUGUGACCGGUAGAAAAAUAAACAUGUUCGGAAUACGGGUAGAUUCUACAGGAGAACAGUUUAAC